rnacentral:rRNA from 1 species
GACGAACGCUGGCGGCGUGCUUAACACAUGCAAGUCGAACGGAAAGGCCCUGCUUUUGUGGGGUGCUCGAGUGGCGAACGGGUGAGUAACACGUGAGUAACCUGCCCUUGACUUUGGGAUAACUUCAGGAAACUGGGGCUAAUACCGGAUAGGAGCUCCUGCUGCAUGGUGGGGGUUGGAAAGUUUCGGCGGUUGGGGAUGGACUCGCGGCUUAUCAGCUUGUUGGUGGGGUAGUGGCUUACCAAGGCUUUGACGGGUAGCCGGCCUGAGAGGGUGACCGGCCACGUUGGGACUGAGAUACGGCCCAGACUCCUACGGGAGGCAGCAGUGGAGAAUAGUGCACAAUGGGCGGAAGCCUGAUGCAGCAACGCCGCGUGCGGGAUGACGGCCUUCGGGUUGUAAACCGCUUUCGCCUGGGACGAAGCGUGAGUGACGGUAAUGGGUAAAGAAGCACCGGCUAACUACGUG